rnacentral:rRNA from 1 species
UACGAAGGGGGAGCGAGCGUUGUUCGGAUUUACUGGGCGUAAAGGGCGCGUAGGCGGCGCGGUAAGUCACUUGUGAAAUCUCUGAGCUUAACUCAGAACGGCCAAGUGAUACUGCAGUGCUAGAGUGUGGAAGGGGCAAUCGGAAUUCUUGGUGUAGCGGUGAAAUGCGUAGAUAUCAAGAGGAACACCUGAGGUGAAGACGGGUUGCUGGGCCAACACUGACGCUGAUGCGCGAAAGCCAGGGGAGCAAACGGG